UCAUCCCCAGAUUCAAAACCGUCGCAGUAGCCUUUUGGCUAGGUGGCAUGACAGAGUUAUGUUGAAUAUACGUGGUAAAGCUGCACCUGGGCACGUUGAAUGUCAUG
rnacentral:sRNA from 12 species